rnacentral:rRNA from 1 species
UACGAAGGGGGCUAGCGUUGUUCGGAAUCACUGGGCGUAAAGCGCACGUAGGCGGAUGUGCCAGUCAGGGGUGAAAUCCCGGAGCUCAACUCCGGAACUGCCUCUGAUACAGCACGUCUUGAGUUCGAGAGAGGUGGGUGGAAUUCCUAGUGUAGAGGUGAAAUUCGUAGAUAUCAGGAGGAACACCGAUGGCGAAGGCAGGUCUCUGGGCUGAAACUGACGCUCAUGCACGAAAGCGUGGGGAGCAAACAGG